GUUGUUUUAUAUCAGUAGGUUUUGUUUUUAUUUUACACGUCUAUCUCAGAGUUAUUGUGGCUUCAAUUCCAGAUCACACAUAAAAAUGUCAGUCUCUUGCUGUUUCUACCACCUCACCUCUGCACCCACCUACAAAAAGGGACUGGACACUGAGGAAUGACAAGUACAAGGCCAGAGAUGCAAAGGUGGUCAGUAAGGAAACUCAACUUAAACAAAGAUGGCAUUGAGCAUGUAAAUGAAGAUACGUGCUUAAUAGUAAAAGUAAAAUUAUCCUUUCCAUAAAGAACAUGAAAUUACAAAUCUGUGGAGAGAAGAAGUUCUUGGUCACUGCUGGGCAGUGUGUGCGUGUGUUCAGGGGACAGUGAACAGGAGCAUCAGCUAGAAAGAAGAUCUGGAUCCUUCAUCUUUUGGAGAUUUGCCCCCUGUACUUGUGGAUCCAGUUUGGGGAGGUCCAGUCUGGCUCUUUGAUAAUGUCUCUGGAGCCUGAAAUGAUUUCCAGUGGUGAAGGCCCGUCAUGACCCAUGUACCUCAUAUGAGCUCUCUAGGUUAGACAACUGGCAAGAUAAAAAUGAACAUGAAAUGUUGAAAACAACCAAGAGAAAGCUAUAACCAUUGUUCACUGUCUUUCCCUUCAAUGCAAUACAAUAAAAGGAGAUUCCAUAAAAUCA